UAGGGAAUCUUCGGCAAUGGACGAAAGUCUGACCGAGCAACGCCGCGUGAGUGAAGAAGGUUUUCGGAUCGUAAAACUCUGUUGUUAGAGAAGAACAAGGACGUUAGUAACUGAACGUCCCCUGACGGUAUCUAACCAGAAAGCCACGGCUAACUACGUGCCAGCAGCCGCGGUAAUACGUAGGUGGCAAGCGUUGUCCGGAUUUAUUGGGAGUAAAGCGAGCGCAGGCGGUUUCUUAAGUCUGAUGUGAAAGCCCCCGGCUCAACCGGGGAGGGUCAUUGGAAACUGGGAGACUUGAGUGAAGAAGAGGAGAGUGGAAUUCCAUGUGUAGCGGUGAAAUGCGUAGAUAUAUGGAGGAACACCAGUGGCGAAGGCGGCUCUAUGGUCUGUAACUGACGCUGAGGCUCGAAAGCGUGGGGAGCAAACAGG
rnacentral:rRNA from 1 species